rnacentral:rRNA from 1 species
AUUGAACGCUGGCGGCAGGCCUAACACAUGCAAGUCGAGCGGGGUUUUCGGACCUAGCGGCGGACGGGUGAGUAAUGCGUAGGAAGCUACCCGAUAGAGGGGGAUACCAGUUGGAAACGACUGUUAAUACCGCAUAAUGUCUACGGACCAAAGUGUGGGACCUUCGGGCCACAUGCUAUCGGAUGCGCCUACGUGGGAUUAGCUAGUUGGUGAGGUAAUGGCUCACCAAGGCGACGAUCCCUAGCUGGUUUGAGAGGAUGAUCAGCCACACUGGAACUAAGACACGGUCCAGAUUCCUACGGGAGGCAGCAGUGGGGAAUAUUGGACAAUGGGCGCAAGCCUGAUCCAGCCAUGCCGCGUGUGUGAAGAAGGCCUUCGGGUUGUAAAGCACUUUCAGUAGGGAGGAAGCGUUGUGUGUUAAUAGUACACAGCGUUGACGUUACCUACAGAAGAAGCACCGGCUAACUCUGUGCCAGCCGCCGCGGUAACAC